CAAAAUUUUGUGUUGUAAUAAGGCUUACUAAGUUUGAUUCUGCAUCUUUACAUGUGAUCUAGGCAAGUUAUUCUUUGGGUGGUGUGGGAAUGGGUAUUUGAAAUUAAAGGGUUGGAGUGGAGAGGGUACAAUUGCUUUGAUCUCUGAUUUUGGCAUUAGUCACUGUUUUUAUGCCAGCAGCAUGUUUCUUAAAUGUAAAAUAACAAUUUUGUGUACAACUGACAUAUACAUAAUGCUGAAGAACCUGGUCUCUAUGAAUAUCCUACUACAGAAGACAGGGAACCAUUUGCAUUUUUAAUUAUCCAUUAUCUCUAAGCAUGAUUUUUCUCUGUCAAAAAUAAAUAUAUCCCAUCGGGUGUUCUCAGUGAGACCUAUGGUGAGGGGCACUGAAUAAGGACACCAAGCAGGAUAUGGUUCUUACCCUGUAUCCAUUCAGGUGACAAACAAAAACUGUUCCUGACCCACACCAUUUACAACCUAAGAUUUGGAAAGUGACCUGCAUGCUGAAUCCUGCCUAUGAACCAUUUCUACCAGAUAGACCAUCUUUCCCUGCCAAGAGAGACAUGGAAUGAGGAUUACAGCAGGGACUAAUCCCCCAAAACUGGAAGGUGUCCUCUCUCCUUGAAGCUGUUACCCCCUCUCUGUUUUUGAACAUUGGUCCUGAAGAUGUCAUUAUCUGUGUGAUCAAGAGAACAGACUUUUAAUGUAGGUUCAUUGAGAUGACUAUGUUCUUUAUAUGGUCAAUAAUGGCUGUAUGAGUUAAUAGCAUGCUUCUUAAGAAUAUUUAUGUAUUACACCUUAGGCUUUCAAGCUUUAUGUCACACAAGUAUUCAUAAAUAUGCUACUGACACUAUGGUAACUAUCUUGAUAUAUCUUUCAUGAACGUUAAAUACCUAAUGACAUAAAUUCAAGUUUAGAAACAUUGAAGUUAAACGAAGCGUCACAUUUUUUCAUCGUUACUAUUUUCCUGGGAUCAGAAUGCAUCUUUCAAUGAAAACAGUGUUAUUUGGGCUACUUAGUGCCAAUGUUUAACAGCAGAGUUUGUUAAAGGUAGGAGCAGGCCAGUAUUGAGAGCUUUUGAGAUUCUCUGCCUUUACAGUCCAGAUGUGCUAGAUUUUAAGAAAAGCAUACUCUACUUUGGACUGUGUUGCGCUAGGUCUGCCAGGUAACGUAAAAGCCCAGGUCAGAGAGGUAAGGGAGCGUGUGCUCCUCAGUGUCCUGAGUAUGUCAAUUUGAUGUCAUGAAAGUAAGGUCUACUUAACAUAGUUAAGUAUAGAUAGAGAUAGAGAGCAUAUUUCUGAUUUAAGAACUGCCUGUGGAGUGUUAUUCCCCUAGGAAGUGGAAGGGGAGGGGGAUUUCUGAGUAUGUGAG
ensembl:lncRNA